AUGAGGUGGUGUAUGGGCAGGAAGCAGUGCUGCCCGUGGAGAUUAAUUUGCAAGCUCUUAAGAGUAGCCAGACAAAAUGAUUUGUCGCCUGUGGAUUACAAUAAUUUAAUGAUGGAUAGGAUAGAUGAUGUUUCAGAGGAAAGGUUGAGAGUCUUGCAAGAGAUUGAAAAAAAGAAAUUACGAGUGGCAAAAGCUUAUAAUAAAAAGGAAAGGGGAAAAUUGUUUCAAAUUGGAGAAUUAGUGUGGAAAAUGAUUUUUCCUAUUGGAACUAGAAAUAAUAAAUUCGGCAAAUGGUCGCCUAGUUGGGAAGAUCCGCAUAAGGUUGUAGAGACUGUUCGU
rnacentral:rRNA from 1 species